AAUGAACGUUGGCGGCGUGGAUUAGGCAUGCAAGUCGAACGCUUUAUGUAGCAAUACAUGAAGAGUGGCGUAAGGGAGAGUAAUACACAGUUAGCUACCCUUGGGUCUGGGAUAGCGGCGGGAAACUGCCAGUAAUACCAGAUGAUGUCUUCGGACCAAAGGUGUAAUUUCGCCCGAGGAGGUGACUGUGUCCUAUCAGCUAGUUGGCGGGGUAACGGCCACCAAGGCUAAGACGGGUAUGGGGCGUGAGAGCGUGCCCCCACCUC
rnacentral:rRNA from 1 species